rnacentral:rRNA from 1 species
AUUGAACGCUGGCGGCAGGCCUAACACAUGCAAGUCUGGCGAGCGGCGGACGGGUGAGUAAUGUAUGGGGAUCUGCCUGAUGGAGGGGGAUAACUACUGGAAACGGUAGCUAAUACCGCAUACCAUCAGAUGAACCCAUAUGGGAUAAGCUUGUAGGUGAGGUAACGGCUCACCUAGGCGACGAUCCCUAGUUGGUCUGAGAGGAUGAUAAGCCACACUAGGAAUGAGACACGUCCCAAGCUCCUACGGAGGGCAGCAGUGGGGAAUAUUGCACAAUGGGCGCAAGACUGAUGCAGCAAUGCCGCGUGUAUGAGGAAGGCCUUCGGGUUGUAAAGUACUUUCAGUAGGGAGGCGUUACCGAAAGAAGGAGCACCGGCUAGCUCCGUGCCAGCAGCCGCGGUAAUUG